rnacentral:rRNA from 1 species
GACGAACGCUGGCGGCGUGCCUAAUACAUGCAAGUCGAACGCACAGUUUAUACCGUAGCUUGCUACACCAUAGACUGUGAGUUGCGAACGGGUGAGUAACGCGUAGGUAACCUGCCUGGUAGCGGGGGAUAACUAUUGGAAACGAUAGCUAAUACCGCAUAAUAUUAAUUAUUGCAUGAUAAUUAAUUGAAAGGUGCAAUUGCACCACUACCAGAUGGACCUGCGUUGUAUUAGCUAGUAGGUGAGGUAACGGCUCACCUAGGCGACGAUACAUAGCCGACCUGCGAGGGUGAUCGGCCACACUGGGACGGAGACACGGCCCAGACUCCUACGGGAGGCAGCAGUAGGGAAUCGUCGGCAAUGGACGAAAGUCUGACCGAGCAACGCCGCGUGAGUGAAGAAGGUUGUCGGAUCGUAAAGCUCUGUUGUAAGAGAAGAACGGGUGUGAGAGUGGAAAGUUCACACUGUGACGGUAUCUUACCAGAAAGGGACGGCUAACUACGUG